AGGGAAUAUUGCGCAAUGGGCGAAAGCCUGACGCAGCCACGCCGCGUGAGUGAGGAAGGCCUUCGGGUUGUAAAGCUCUGUCAUUCGGGAAAAACGGCUAUCCGGGGAAAGUUCGGGUAGCGUGAUGGUACCGAAGAAGGAAGCACCGGCAAACUCUGUGCCAGCAGCCGCGGUAAUACAGAGGGUGCAAGCGUUGUUCGGAAUUACUGGGCGUAAAGCGUGCGUAGUCGGUAUUGAGAGUCGCGGGUGAAAUCCCGGGGCUUAACCCUGGAACUGCCUGCGAGACCUCAGUACUAGAGUGUGAGAGGGGAUAGUGGAAUACCCAGUGUAGCGGUGAAAUGCGUAGAGAUUGGGUGGAACACCGGUGGCGAAGGCGGCUAUCUGGCUCACAACUGACGAUCAGGCACGAAAGCGUGGGGAGCAAAC
rnacentral:rRNA from 1 species